UACGUAGGGGGCAAGCGUUGUCCGGAUUUAUUGGGCGUAAAGAGCGUGUAGGCGGCCUGGCAGGUCAGCUGUGAAAACUCGAGGCUCAACCUCGAGACGCCGGUUGAAACCAUCUGGCUAGAGUCCGGAAGAGGAGAGUGGAAUUCCUGGUGUAGCGGUGAAAUGCGCAGAUAUCAGGAAGAACACCCGUGGCUAAGGCGGCUCUCUAGUACGGUACUGACGCUGAGACGCGAAAGCGUGGGGAGCGAACAGG
rnacentral:rRNA from 1 species